rnacentral:rRNA from 1 species
GAUGAACGCUGGCGGCGUGCCUAAUACAUGCAAGGCGAGCGAACAGACGAGGAGCUUGCUCCUCUGACGUUAGCGGCGGACGGGUGAGUAACACGUGGAUAACCUACCUAUAAGACUGGGAUAACUUCGGGAAACCGGAGCUAAUACCGGAUAAUAUAUUGAACCGCAUGGUUCAAUAGUGAAAGACGGUUUUGCUGUCACUUAUAGAUGGAUCCGCGCCGCAUUAGCUAGUUGGUAAGGUAACGGCUUACCAAGGCGACGAUGCGUAGCCGACCUGAGAGGGUGAUCGGCCACACUGGAACUGAGCCACGGUCCAGACUCCUACGGGAGGCAGCAGUAGGGAAUCUUCCGCAAUGGGCGAAAGCCUGACGGAGCAACGCCGCGUGAGUGAUGAAGGUCUUCGGAUCGUAAAACUCUGUUAUUAGGGAAGAACAAAUGUGUAAGUAACUAUGCACGUCUUGACGGUACCUAAUCAGAAAGCCACGGCUCACUACGUG